UUUCCGUAGGUGAACCUGCGGAAGGAUCAUUCAUAAUAAAGUGUUUUAUGGCACUUUUUAAAAAUCCAUGUCCACCUUGUGUGCAAUGUUAGAUCUCGUCAAUCUUGGCGAGAUUUUUAUACAUCAACUCAUUCUUUAACUAAUUUGUCUGAAAAAUAUUAUGAAUACUUAAUUCAAAAUACAACUUUCAACAACGGAUCUCUUGGCUCUC
rnacentral:misc_RNA from 1 species